GGGGUCUCUAUUGGCUUGGCUUUCUCUCCUAAAUGAAUUCGAUAUUGGAUAAUUGAAGGAUUGAUCCCUUUGAUGUCAGCUAUGAUCCAGCCUAUGGCUUCCUUAUUCUCUCUAAGGACAGCUAAAAGUUUUUUCUCUUGGGUUUGAUCUAGGUCUGAUGCGAUGAUUACGGGUAGAGUUUUUGAUGGACCUAGAUAUGCAUAUUUGAGGUGCUCAGGGAGUGUUUUAAGUUCUAAUUUUGGUGCUUCCUCAAUCGAUGGCUUGUGUAUUGGUUC
rnacentral:lncRNA from 1 species